rnacentral:rRNA from 1 species
AGAGUUUGAUCAUGGCUCAGAUUGAACGCUGGCGGCAGGCUUAACACAUGCAAGUCGAACGGACUACUUCGGUAGUUAGUGGCGAACGGGUGAGUAAUGCCUAGGAAUCUGCCGUUUAGUGGGGGAUAACGUUCCGAAAGGAACGCUAAUACCGCAUACGUCCUACGGGAGAAAGAGGGGGAUCUUCGGACCUCUUGCUAAACGAUGAGCCUAGGUCAGAUUAGCUAGUUGGUGAGGUAAAGGCUCACCAAGGCGACGAUCUGUAGCGGGUCUGAGAGGAUGAUCCGCCACACUGGAACUGAGACACGGUCCAGACUCCUACGGGAGGCAGCAGUGGGGAAUAUUGGACAAUGGGGGCAACCCUGAUCCAGCCAUGCCGCGUGUGUGAAGAAGGCCUUUUGGUUGUAAAGCACUUUAAGCGAGGAGGAGGGUACUCUAGCUAAUACCUAGAUGUAUCGGACGUUACUCGCAGAAUAAGCACCGGCUAACUCUGUGCCAGCAGCCGCGGUAAUACAGAGGGUGCGAGCGUUAAUCGGAAUUACUGGGCGUAAAGCGCGCGUAGGCGGUUUGUUAAGUCGGAUGUGAAAUCCCCGGGCUCAACCUGGGAACUGCAUUCGAUACUGGCAGACUAGAGUAUGGGAGAGGAUGGUAGAAUUCCAGGUGUAGCGGUGAAAUGCGUAGAGAUCUGGAGGAAUACCGAUGGCGAAGGCAGCCAUCUGGCCUAAUACUGACGCUGAGGUGCGAAAGCAUGGGGAGCAAACAGGAUUAGAUACCCUGGUAGUCCAUGCCGUAAACGAUGUCAACUAGCCGUUGGGGACCUUGAGUCUUUAGUGGCGCAGCUAACGCGAUAAGUUGACCGCCUGGGGAGUACGGCCGCAAGGUUAAAACUCAAAUGAAUUGACGGGGGCCCGCACAAGCGGUGGAGCAUGUGGUUUAAUUCGAUGCAACGCGAAGAACCUUACCUGGCCUUGACAUACAGAGAAUCUUUCAGAGAUGAGAGAGUGCCUUCGGGAAUUCUGAUACAGGUGCUGCAUGGCUGUCGUCAGCUCGUGUCGUGAGAUGUUGGGUUAAGUCCCGCAACGAGCGCAACCCUUUUCCUUAUUAGCGCAGUGGCUC